AAACACGUGCAGUCGAGCGGCUCAGGGGAAGCUUGUUUCCCGCUGACGAGCGGCGGACGGGUGAGUAAUGCUUAUGAAUCUGCCCAGUACUGGGGGAUAGCCCGGGGAAACCCGGAUUACUACCGGAUACGUCCUAGGGGAUAAAGCUUGGGAUCUUCGGACCUUGCGCUAUUGGAUGAUCCUAAGUCGGAUUAUCUAGUUGGUGUGGUACAGGCCUAUUCAGGCGACGAUUCGUAGCUGGUCUGAUAGGAUUAUCAGCCCCAUCGGGACUGAGACAAGGCCCGAACUCCUACUGGAGGCAGCAGUGGAGAUU
rnacentral:rRNA from 1 species